UACAGAGGGUGCAAGCGUUGUCCGGAAUCAUUGGGCGUAAAGCGCGCGUAGGCGGCCCGGUAAGUCCGCUGUGAAAGUCAAAGGCUCAACCUUUGAAUGCCGGUGGAUACUGUCGGGCUAGAGUCCGGAAGAGGCGAGUGGAAUUCCUGGUGUAGCGGUGGAAUGCGCAGAUAUCAGGAGGAACACCAAUAGCGAAGGCAGCUCGCUGGGACGGUACUGACGCUAAGGCGCGAAAGCGUGGGGAGCGAACAGG
rnacentral:rRNA from 1 species